UAUAUCCUGCAAUGGUGUGAUCGCAAUUUUAGAACCAACAUUUCUAAAAUGGGAGCUGGUCUUCGGACGUGGAAAGCAUGCCUCCUUGUCGAGGAAACUUGAGCCGUUCGAGAGGUGCCCACCGUGAUUGACACGGUUCUAAAAAACCUCCACCCGUUGCAGGAUAUUU
rnacentral:other from 1 species